UACGUAGGGCGCAAGCGUUGUCCGGAAUUAUUGGGCGUAAAGAGCUCGUAGGCGGUCUGUUACGUCCGCUGUGAAAACCCAGGGCUUAACCCUGGGCUUGCAGUGGAUACGGGUAGACUAGAGGCAGGUAGGGGAGAAUGGAAUUCCCGGUGUAGCGGUGAAAUGCGCAGAUAUCGGGAGGAACACCAAUGGCGAAGGCAGCUCUCUGGGACGGUACUGACGCUGAGACGCGAAAGCGUGGGGAGCGAACAGG
rnacentral:rRNA from 1 species